GGCCCAGUGCUGAGCUCCUUCCCUUUACAGUGAGGCCAAGCCAUUUGCUGCCUGAGACUUGGGGCUCCGCGGGUCGUCUCCCAGCCGCCGAGCCCCCCAAUCCAUCCUUCCCUCCCUCCCAGCCAUCCCUCCUUCUUCGGCAACCACUCGCCGCUUCGGGUUUCCCGCUUCCUCCCCUCCCUCCACUGACGCAGUCCGUGCUGCACCAGAUCCUAACAUGGCGGCGGCGAGGUGGUGAAGAGCGCGGCGGGAGGGAAGAUUCCGGGCCCAGCGGCUGUAAAAUUUUGAAGCCAUGGGAGUGAAAACCCAGAGACCUCGUUGCUUUUUUGACAUAGCCAUCAACAAUGUACCUGCUGGAAGAGUUGUCUUUGAGUUGUUUUCAGAUGUCUGCCCAAAGACAUGUGAGAACUUCCGCUGCCUUUGUACCGGU